rnacentral:rRNA from 1 species
GAUGAACGCUGGCGGCGUGCCUAAUACAUGCCAGUCGAGCGAACAGACGAGGAGCUUGCUCCUCUGACGUUAGCGGCGGACGGGUGAGUAACACGUGGAUAACCUACCUAUAAGACUGGGAUAACUUCGGGAAACCGGAGCUAAUACCGGAUAAUAUAUUGAACCGCAUGGUUCAAUAGUGAAAGACGGUUUUGCUGUCACUUAUAGAUGGAUCCGCGCCGCAUUAGCUAGUUGGUAAGGUAACGGCUUACCAAGGCGACGAUGCGUAGCCGACCUGAGAGGGUGAUCGGCCACACUGGAACUGAGACACGGUCCAGACUCCUACGGGAGGCAGCAGUAGGGAAUCUUCCGCAAUGGGCGAAAGCCUGACGGAGCAACGCCGCGUGAGUGAUGAAGGUCUUCGGAUCGUAAAACUCUGUUAUUAGGGAAGAACAAAUGUGUAAGUAACUAUGCACGUCUUGACGGCACCUAAUCAGAAAGCCACGGCUAACUACGUG